GAUAUCGAAGAGGCGCCAGUCUUUUUCAGCCUCGUCAACACCUAUCACAUACACACUCAGCUUGACGAAAAUUACGGACAAUUUGUCGAAGAUUUCUGAUAAAGAAGAAAGCACGUGAAGCCAUACUGAUCAAUCACGCAUUGGUUGCCGACACGAGUGAAAGAAUAGUACCUCUACAGGUAUCAAAGAACUUCCUAUAAUUGUCUACCUUCACCUUCCAUAGCAAGGCAGACAUACAGAGCCUUUCUUCAUCUCCAAAAAAUGCUUUCCCAACGAAACCUCUCGAGUCAUUUAGUGUUCCUUAUUCCUUGGGGUACCUCUGCAAGCCAAUGACUCCAAAGCAAAAGUAUCUCAUAUCACCAGAGUAGAAAGCAAGAGUAUCUCAUAUCAUGCGUUCUCCCUGUCCUUUCCUUUGUCCUUGUUCCUACCUACAAAGACAUGGAUAAAGAAAACAAUAUGCCGGAACCUCCAUUCAAACUCGGGUAAGGAACCGACUGCUUGGAACCCUUCCCUGAUUGCCUACCUAGCACUGCUCUCGAGUACUCGUCUCCCACUGCUGCUGUACUUCCAAAGAAGCUACUACAUCUGCCUGAAGAAUAGAUAAGGCAAGUGAAAAUGAUACUUUGCAGCAUGUGGAGACAACGUGCAGAAGGAACAAGCAGAGAAGAAUGCGGUCUGCACAGUCAACUCAGCAGAAGGAGUCCGAGCUGAAGAACUCGAGAAGCUGCCACAUCUGCCUGAAGAAACAAGUAGAGAAGAAUGCAGCAUGCACAGUCAACUCAGCAGAAAGAGUCUGAGAUGAAGAACUCGAGAAGAUGCCACAUCUACCUGAGGAACAGAUAAAGCAAGAAAUGAAAAUGAUACCUUGAAGCAUGUGGAGACAAGUGCAACCAAGCACGUGCUGAUUCAUCCGCCACUUCGUUAAAAUCAAAAGUAUCUCAUAUCAUCAGGGUGCAAUCACUCUGGACGGUGGACUCGUUUUGACCCUCAAAUUCUUGGGUCGACUUGCUAGGCGUUGUGGGCUGCACGUGCCGAUUCACCACCCUUGAAUCAAAUCCUUAAAGAUCAAGUCACCAACUGGAAAAAGAGCCCAUCAAUCUUGACGAUCAUACCGUUGACCAAACUGCUCAGGUGUGAAUUAGAAAGAUUGAACAAAACAACAAGUCGUCACCUUCACCUCAUGCCUGCUUGCCAUAUGUUCGAGUCAACCUCCAAGAAUCAAGCCUCAACGGCCCUUGAAGAAGCUUUCAGCCAAAGUUCAAGAUCAAGCCGACGACCCUUGAGGAAAUCACAAGUCCGAUUCAAGAUUAAGUGUCUACCACCCUUAAAUCAAAACCUAGUUCAAGAAUAAGCUGUGGAAAAUCAACAAUUGGAGGAAUCCAGAAAAUCCUCCAACCCAGUUUAAGAUCAAAGCUGUGGAAAGUCAACAAGCGCAACAAAAUACGUGCCGAUUCAUCCACUACCAAAGCCAAAGAUCAUCUACCACAUGAAGCUCCUUGUGGCCCAAUUUCAACCUUCAAGAUCAAGCCUCGACGGCCCUUGAAGAAAUUUCAAACAAAAGUUCAAGAACAAGCCUCAACGGCCAUUGAAGAAAUCUCAAGCCCAAUUCAAGAUCAAGCCUCAACGGCCCUUGAAGAAA
rnacentral:lncRNA from 1 species